rnacentral:rRNA from 1 species
UGGGGAAUAUUGCACAAUGGGCGGAAGCCUGAUGCAGCGACGCCGCGUGAGGGAUGACGGCCUUCGGGUUGUAAACCUCUUUCAGCAGGGACGAAGCGAAAGUGACGGUACCUGCAGAAGAAGCGCCGGCCAACUACGUGCCAGCAGCCGCGGUAAGACGUAGGGCGCGAGCGUUGUCCGGAUUUAUUGGGCGUAAAGAGCUCGUAGGCGGCUUGUCGCGUCGACUGUGAAAACUUGGGGCUCAACCCCAAGCUUGCAGUCGAUACGGGCAGGCUAGAGUUCGGUAGGGGAGACUGGAAUUCCUGGUGUAGCGGUGAAAUGCGCAGAUAUCAGGAGGAACACCGAUGGCGAAGGCAGGUCUCUGGGCCGAUACUGACGCUGAGGAGCGAAAGCGUGGGGAGCGAACA